GACGAACGCUGGCGGCGUGCUUAACACAUGCAAGUCGAGCGGUAAGGCCCUUUCGGGGGUACGACGAGCGGCGAACGGGUGAGUAACACGUGGGUGACCUGCCCUCAGCUCUGGGAUAAGCCUGGGAAACCGGGUCUAAUACUGGAUAUGACUCCAUGACGCAUGUUGUGGGGUGGAAAGCCUUGUGCGGCUGAGGAUGGGCCCGCGGCCUAUCAGCUUGUUGGUGGGGUGAUGGCCUACCAAGGCGACGACGGGGUAGCCGGCCUGAGAGGGCGACCGGCCACACUGGGGACUGAGACACGGCCCAGACUCCUACGGGAGGCAGCAGUGGGGAACCUUGCGCAAUGGGCGAAAGCCUGAACGCAGCGACGCCGCGUGAGGGAUGACGGCCUGGUGUAAC
rnacentral:rRNA from 1 species